CCUACGGGAGGCAGCAGUGGGGAAUAUUGCACAAUGGGGGAAACCCUGAUGCAGCGACGCCGCGUGAGUGAAGAAGUAAUUCGUUAUGUAAAGCUCUAUCAGCAGGGAAGAAAAUGACGGUACCUGAGUAAGAAGCCCCGGCUAACUACGUGCCAGCAGCCGCGGUAAUACGCAGGGGGCAAGCGUUAUCCGGAUUUACUGGGUGGAAAGGGAGCGUAGACGGCAGUGCAAGUCUGGAGUGAAAGGCGGGGGCUCAACCCCCGGACUGCUCUGGAAACUGUACGGCUGGAGUGCAGGAGAGGUAAGUGGAAUUCCUAGUGUAGCGGUGAAAUGCGUAGAUAUUAGGAAGAACACCAGUGGCGAAGGCAGCUUACUGGACUGUAACUGACGUUGAGGCUCGAAAGCGUGGGGAGCAAACAGGAUUAGAUACCCCUGUAGUC
rnacentral:rRNA from 1 species